rnacentral:misc_RNA from 1 species
GAUGAAGAACGCAGCGAAAUGCGAUAAGUAAUGUGAAUUGCAGAAUUCAGUGAAUCAUCGAAUCUUUGAACGCACCUUGCGCCCUUUGGCCAUUCCGAAGGGCAUGCCUGUUUGAGUAUCAUGAACACCUCAACUCUUUAUGGUUUUCCAUGAUGAGCUUGGACUUUGGGGGUUUUGUUGGCCUAUGGUCGGCUCCUCUAAAAUAAAUCAGCUUACCGGUGUUUGGUGGGUAUCAUGGGUGUGAUAACUAUCUACGCUUGUGGUUUUUCCACCAGGUAACCUUCGACAGCUGAGGUUCACUGGAGCUCACAGAUGUCUCUCCUCAGCGAGGACAGCCCUUUGAAUGUUUGAUCUCAAAUCAGGUAGGACUACCCGCUGAACUUAAGCAUAUCAAUAAGCGGAGGA